AUCCUGCUGACGAGUCUCAAAUAGGACGAAACGCGCAUCCUGAAU
rnacentral:hammerhead_ribozyme from 1 species